rnacentral:SRP_RNA from 1 species
GCCAGGCACGGUGGCGUGUGCCUGUAGUCUCAACUACUCCGGAGGCUGAGGCUGGGGGAUCGCUUGAGCCCAGGAGUUCUGGGCUGUAGUGCACUAUGCCGAUCGGGUGUCCGCACUAAGUUUGGCAUCAAUAUGGUGACCUCCAGAGAGCAGGGACUACCAGGUUGCCUAAGGAGGGGUGAACCGGCCCAGGUUGGAAACGGAGCAGGUCAAAACUCCUGUGCUGAUCAGUAGUGGGAUCGCAUCUGUGAAUAGCCACUGCACUCCAGCCUGGGCAACAUAGCAAGACCCUGUCUCU